rnacentral:tRNA from 1 species
GAGGGUACAGCUCAGGGGUGGAGCACAUGCUUAGCAUGCACGAGGUCCUGGGUUUGAUCCCUGGUACCUUCA